AGAGCGGCCCGCGUCUGAUUAGCUAGUUGGUUGAGGUAACGGCUCACCAAGGCGACGAUCAGUAGCUGGUCUGAGAGGAUGGCCAGCCACAUUGGGACUGAGACACGGCCCAAACUCCUACGGGAGGCAGCAGUGGGGAAUCUUGCGCAAUGGGCGAAAGCCUGACGCAGCCAUGCCGCGUGAAUGAUGAAGGUCUUAGGAUUGUAAAAUUCUUUCACCGGGGACGAUAAUGACGGUACCCGGAGAAGAAGCCCCGGCUAACUUCGUGCCAGCAGCCGCGGUAAUACGAAGGGGGCUAGCGUUGCUCGGAAUUACUGGGCGUAAAGGGCGCGUAGGCGGACAUUUAAGUCAGGGGUGAAAUCCCAGAGCUCAACUCUGGAACUGCCUUUGAUACUGGGUGUCUUGAGUGUGAGAGAGGUAUGUGGAACUCCGAGUGUAGAGGUGAAAUUCGUAGAUAUUCGGAAGAACACCAGUGGCGAAGGCGACAUACUGGCUCAUUACUGACGCUGAGGCGCGAAAGCGUGGGGAGCAAACAGGAUUAGAUACCCUGGUAGUCCACGCCGUAAACGAUGAUUGCUAGUUG
rnacentral:rRNA from 1 species